rnacentral:tRNA from 1 species
GCUAGCAUAGCUCAGCAGGUAGAGCAAUGGUUUUGUAAACCAUAGGUCGAGGGUUCGAUUCCUUCUGCUAGCUCCA